CUGUUGAAUUCCAUCAGGACCCACUGGGGCAAGCCUUGCUCUCUUAUUAAAACUGGAUAAGGGUGAAAUUUGCCCAUCUUGAUUCUCCCUCUUACCAUGAAGUGAAGCACCAGAAUUCAUAUUGUCGCCAUAUGAGAUCAUCAUGUCCUGCCCAGCAGGGGAAGCUCCUGAAAUAUUAACAUGAGUCCCUGUCCCUAGCUCCUGCAUACUUCUAGGGGUGCCCACCCCCAUCUGAUACCUUGUUUGCUGUGAAACCAAUGGUAGUGCUGGAACAUUGCCAUCAGGUGCAAAACUUCUUGCUCCUAGGGCUAACAUGUUGCUUGGG
rnacentral:misc_RNA from 1 species